AGCUUUGCGCAGUGGCAGUAUCAUAGCCAAUGAGGUUUAUCUGUGGCGUGAUUAUUGCUAAUUAAAAUGCAAA
rnacentral:snRNA from 1 species